GCUCCCUGGCGGUGGGCAAAGAGGCACCUUGUUGUUGGCAUUCUUAUAUCGGUCAGGGGGCAGAGCAGAUGGCAGGCCUUUGUUCAUCCUAGCUUGAUGCCUGGCUUGGUGCCCAAAGCUGUUUUAGGCCUUGGACUCAUCA